CCUACGGGAGGCAGCAGUGAGGAAUAUUGGUCAAUGGACAAGAGUCUGAACCAGCCAAGUAGCGUGAAGGAUGACUGCCCUAUGGGUUGUAAACUUCUUUUAUAUGGGAAUAAAAUGUUCCACGUGUGGGAUUUUGUAUGUACCAUAUGAAUAAGGAUCGGCUAACUCCGUGCCAGCAGCCGCGGUAAUACGGAGGAUCCGAGCGUUAUCCGGAUUUAUUGGGUUUAAAGGGAGCGUAGGUGGAUUGUUAAGUCAGUUGUGAAAGUUUGCGGCUCAACCGUAAAAUUGCAGUUGAAACUGGCAGUCUUGAGUACAGUAGAGGUGGGCGGAAUUCGUGGUGUAGCGGUGAAAUGCUUAGAUAUCACGAAGAACUCCGAUUGCGAAGGCAGUUCACUGGACUGCAACUGACACUGAGGCUCGAAAGUGUGGGUAUCAAACAGGAUUAGAUACCCGUGUAGUC
rnacentral:rRNA from 1 species